rnacentral:lncRNA from 1 species
GGUUAAGAUACACUUCUGAAGUAUACCAGCAAAGACACCUAUUUUGCUUUCUUAAGCAAAGCAGACCAAGUCAUCUGCUCUGCAAGGUAUAAAUGACCUUCUACUGUGGGGAAGAAGAAUGAUGUAUUAUUUUCAGAGGAACAAGAAAAUUCUUAUACUGACCAACUGCUCUGUAGGGUGCUUUGGUCAUUCUUUUUGGAAAAAUAUUUUGAAGCAAUUUGUGCUAAAGAACUCCACUUUAAACAAGGUGAGUGUGAGCUUGAAGAUCUUACUUACAGUCUUACAAAUCCCAAGAUGUUGUAAGCAUCUUUAAAAUAACCUUGAAUCCAGCAUCAUGAAAACAUGAAAUGCAUUUUCUUAACUUCUACACUGAACAGUACAGAGCUGUAGAGGACUGUUUAAUCUUUCUCUUAAGUACCUUUUUCCUGACUUAGAUGAUCUGUGCUUUUUUUUUUCUUUUUUUUUUUUUUUUCCCCAAAUGUAUAUUUUUAUUAAAAAGACCUGAUACAGUAGGUAGAACCACAACUACUCCCAUUUGCAUUUUAUGCCAUUAAUGUAAUAUAAUCGUUGUCAUGAAGAUGGUUUUAGUUUGUUCCCUGCAUAGGGCUGGGACUUUGUUGCCAUGUUGGUGUAUAAUAGAUACCAGUGCUCUGUUCAAUAUUCAAUUGUGAUAUGAAAGUAAGAGCUAGAAAAUUAAAGUAAUUAAAGUUGAAAAUCCCCAAUGCUACUUCAGUUUAACUGAGAUGCUGUUGCUCACUUGUAUUUUGUUUUCCUCCUUGCGGGUUUGAUAAAUGAGGCACUUGCCGCACUAGUUAAAAUUUCGAACUGCGUGUUUUGCUGUGAGGUUUCAGACUAAGUUUAUUUGCUGCCUAGGUAACAAAUCCAGAUGUGACACUUCUCUGUGUAUUUUACUGAAUUAUGUGGAACAAGCUGAGGACAAACACAGGAGACUGUACUCAGUGAAAGUGUAUGCCGUGGUAUCCCGAGUGGACCCUUCCAUUGGGGCCCAGAGUGAAAGAUGAGAAAUAUGUGAAAUUCUGUGAGGGCCUGAAGAAAGAGAUGUUUGGUACGAUGUCUCCUGCUGGUCUGAACUUUACCUUCACUGAAGGAUCUGUUACCUGCAUGUGUCUCUUCUGUGUCCAUGUCAGCUAUACCUGUGCAGAAGUGCUUGCCAUCUUCUGGUGUGUGAAUACAACGAAUUACUAUAUAGCAGAGGAGCUACCAGACCUCGUUUUCCUUGCAGCUAAAGUCCUUUUUACACUACAAAUAAAGAAAUGUUAAGGUAAAUGAAAACAAAGUAUAUCAAGUUUACUGUUACUUUAUUUUUUUAUUUUUUAUUUUUUACUCAUCAUGUAUGUGUAUUUGCUCUAA